UGGGGAAUAUUGCACAAUGGGGGAAACCCUGAUGCAGCGACGCCGCGUGAGCGAAGAAGGUUUUCGAAUCGUAAAGCUCUGUCCUAUGGGAAGAUAAUGACGGUACCAUAGGAGGAAGCCCCGGCUAACUACGUGCCAGCGGCCGCGGUAAUACGUAGGGGGCAAGCGUUGUCCGGAAUCACUGGGCGUAAAGGGUUCGCAGGCGGAAAUGCAAGUCAGUUGUGAAAGGCAGAGGCUCAACCUCUGUAAGCAAUUGAAACUGUAUUUCUUGAGAUGUGGAGAGGCAAGUGGAAUUCCUAGUGUAGCGGUGAAAUGCGUAGAUAUUAGGAAGAAUACCGGUGGCGAAGGCGACUUGCUGGACACAAACUGACGCUGAGGAACGAAAGCGUGGGUAGCAAACAGG
rnacentral:rRNA from 1 species